UCAGCGUCUGAACAAAUUAAUAAUUACAACUUUCAACAACGGAUCUCUUGGUUCUGGCAUCGAUGAAGAACGCAGCGAAAUGCGAUAAGUAGUGUGAAUUGCAGAAUUCAGUGAAUCAUCGAAUCUUUGAACGCACAUUGCGCCCCUUGGUAUUCCAUGGGGCAU
rnacentral:rRNA from 1 species